AUUGCAGAUCGCCACCUUCUGCCAAAGGUUUUCACCGACUCUCUGGUCCGACGAGGAACGCUGCUGAGCCUGACUCUAGCAGGAGGAAUAUGAGCCACAAUUGUAUGAAAAUCUUUCCUGGACACCUUCGGAUAAGAUGAAAUAAACUUGGAGAAUGGCAUCUGUGUUGGAAGAAAGUUCUGGACUCCACAGUGGCUUGCUCCAGAAAAGCCAAACCAUCAGCUCUCUUGACAGCACAGAGAAUGCCAGUGUGUGGGAAACAGACCGCGGUCACCCUGAGCGGCAAGGGGCUUUCCAGUGCUUAGGCUCUGAAUGUGAAACAUUUUAGAAAGAGAUGAAACAAUUUUUUUCGCUUGUAUUUUCCUAUGUGUUUGAAGGUCGAUAGAUG
rnacentral:lncRNA from 1 species